UAUGUGAUCGUCUCUCGCAUAUCAAUAAGCGGAGGAAAAGAAACUAACAAGGAUUCCCCUAGUAACGGCGAGUGAAGCGGGAAGAGCUCAAAUUUGAAAUCUUAAAGGGUUUCCCUUUACGAAUUGUAGUUUAAAGAAGUGUUCUCUGUUGAGGUUUUGGUAAAAGUUCUUUGGAAUAGGACAUCAUAGAGGGUGAGAAUCCCGUAUUUGACCUUUACUUUCAACUUUGUGAUACACUUUCAAAGGGUCGGAUUGUUUGGGAAUGCAGUCCAAAAUGGGUGGUAAAUUUCAUCUAAAGCUAAAUAUUGGCGAGAGACCGAUAGCGAACAAGCACCGUGAGAGAAAGAUGAAAAGAACUUUGAAAAGAGAGUUAAACAAUACGUGAAAUUGUCAAAAGGGAAGCGUUUGACACCAGUGUUGUUUUUCUGAAAAUCAAUUAAAGAACUGUUUAUGCUAAGUUGUUUAGACUUUAUCAGCUAACUGUUUAGUUUUGAGCUUUUCUUUAAUGCACUUUUCAGUUAACAAGUCAACAUCAAUUUCUUUUGCUGUAAAAAAGCUUGAGGAAGGUGGCUUGAGAUUCGUCUUAAGUGUUUAUAGCCUCUUGCCUACGCAGUCGGAGAGAUUGAGGUCUGCAGCGUAGAUCCUUCGGGGCUAAAUGCAUUUGUGCUAAGUUAUAGCAUUUUAUAGACAACUUGUUGACUAUGAUUUGUCUUGUAGCUUACUCGCUUAUGUUAUUUUACCUACGCUUAGGAUGUUGAUCUACAGAGCGAGAGU
rnacentral:rRNA from 1 species